UACGGGGGGGGCAAGCGUUGUUCGGAAUUACUGGGCGUAAAGGGCUCGUAGGUGGCCAACUAAGUCAGACGUGAAAUCCCUCGGCUUAACCGGGGAACUGCGUCUGAUACUGGAUGGCUUGAGUUUGGGAGAGGGAUGCGGAAUUCCAGGUGUAGCGGUGAAAUGCGUAGAUAUCAGGAGGAACACCAAUUGCGAAGGCAGCUCGCUGGGGAUGUGCCGACGCUGAGACACGAAAGCCAGGGGAGCAAACGGG
rnacentral:rRNA from 1 species